ensembl:lncRNA
AAAAAAAACUGAGACCAUCACUCUCCUCUCCUCUUUAACAUCAGUGUCACACAAAUACAGGAACUCAGAUGAUCAGAUCGUUUCUGACUAGUUCACUGAAAGAGCUCUGCUUCUUCUUUCUUCACAGAUUUACCCAGAUCUACACUGACUGUGACUCCAGACAGUCCUGUAUUCACUGGAGAGAGAGUCAAUCUGACGUGUGUGAUUGAGUCUUACAGUAACUGGACACAGAGAAAUGGCCUGAAAUAUGACUGGAGAUAUGACUGGACAGAUUUCCAGACAUAUGAGUGGAGAUAUGAGUGGUAUAAAAGCAGAGACAGUGUAAUGUUACAGACAUCUGAGCGUUACACUGUAAACACAGACACUCUCACUAUCAGAGGAGCUACUGAGUCUGAUCAGGGUCAGUUCUGGUGUAGAGGACACAGAGAUGAAAGACCAAAAUCAUCACAAUCAAGCUCUGUUUCUCUCACUGUGACGGCUUUACCCAGAUCUACUCUGACUGUGACUCCAGACAGUCCUGUAUUCACUGGAGAGAGAGUGAUUCUGAAGUGUGUGAUUGAGUCUUACAGUGACUGGAGAUAUGAGUGGUAUAAAGACAGAGACAGUGUAAUGUUACAGACGUCUGAGCGUUACACUGUAAACAGAGACACUCUCACUAUCAGAGGAGCUACUGAGUCUGAUCAGGAUCAGUUCUGGUGUAGAGGACAGAGAGAU